UUAUCCAUAGACCUAUUACUUAACUCUUGAAAUCACCCAAAAAAUAAAUCCUAUUUUAUUUCAUAAAACCCAAGUCAUCUAAAACAAACCUUAACUUUGCAAAGCUCAUACGAAGUCAUAUCAACUCCAAAUCACCAAAAAUCAAUGCUCCUAGAAAGCCUAUUUAGUCUUCUAUCAAACUUCUUUCUCCAAUCUCCAAAAGAAUUCUAGAGUUGUCAUCGAGACUUGGUUUUGUGCCUCAGGGUUUGAUUUCGAUCUUGGUUCAUAACCAGCCCUCUC
rnacentral:lncRNA from 1 species